rnacentral:lncRNA from 8 species
AUGGACAGGUUGGCUGCUGCCCACAGAGGGGCGGUCAGGGCCAUGCAGAGGUUCACUAAUCACCUGUCUGACACGUCUGAGGGCAGGAUGCCCUCCCAUUAUAAAGAGCUGGGCCAGCUGAUCUGCCAGCUUUCUCUGUGCUCGGCCAAGGUGGAGGUGGGCCAGGGAUCAGCCAUCCCAGAGACUGCCCUGGACAUCCUGCAGAAACUAGGGACCCUGGAUACUGCUCUCAGCAAGCAGGAGAGUCCAGUACAUAGGAGGCACGCCCGAGCGCGCAGUUCCUCCCCUGCAUGCUACCGCAGGUCUCCACAUCGCAGCAUGUCUCCUCCCCGUUCUCGUGCACCCAGGGGCCCUGCCACCAGGGGUCUCAGAGGACCUUUUAGAGCAGCAGGCCCCAAGAAGUCCUUCCCUGCAAAUAGGAGAGCGCUCCCUCAGCAUCAGCAGCCCCCCAGAGCCACAGAGCCUCCUCCACAGCUGGAUCGCAGUCAGGUGCUCAGGGCUGGCCUGGAGAGCCUGGUCCAUCUUAGAGAACUUGGGGAAGGUGGGGGACAGGUCCCCAACAGUCAAGGAGCACUGCACCCCGACAGGACAAAGAAGCAGGGAGCCCACGUGAGGGAUACAGGUUUCCAGCAGCCCACAGUGGCUUCCAGGCUGAGAGUGUCAGCACCCACAGAAGGAGGCCUCUGUGCCCUGGAUACCCACGUCACCUCACUCUCCUUCUAA